rnacentral:snRNA from 1 species
GUGCUCAUUUUGCAGCACAUAUACUAAAAUUGUAACAAUAGAGAUUAGCAUGGUCCCUGCACAAGGAUGACAUGCAAACUGGGGAAGCGUUCCACUUUAAA